rnacentral:rRNA from 1 species
UACAUGUGGGGCAAGCGUUGUUCGGAAUUACUGGGCAUAAAGGGUGCGUAGGUGGCUUGUUAAGUCAGGGGUGAAAGUUUUCGGCCCAACCGGAAAAUGGCCUUUGAUACUGGCGAGCUCGAGUGCGUGAGGGGUAACCGGAACGAGCAGUGUAGCGGUGAAAUGCGUAGAUAUUGCUCGGAAGGCCAACGGCGAAGGCAGGUUACUGGUACGCAACUGACACUGAGGCACGAAAGCGUGGGAGCAAACAGGG